rnacentral:rRNA from 1 species
AUUGAACGCUGGCGGCAGGCCUAACACAUGCAAGUCGAACGGUAACAGGAAGCAGCCUGCUGCUUUGCUGACGAGUGGCGGACGGGUGAGUAAUGUCUGGGAAACUGCCCGAUGGAGGGGGAUAACUACUGGAAACGGUAGCUAAUACCGCAUAACGUCGCAAGACCAAAGAGGGGGACCUUAGGGCCUCUUGCCAUCGGAUGUGCCCAGAUGGGAUUAGCUAGUAGGUGGGGUAACGGCUCACCUAGGCGACGAUCCCUAGCUGGUCUGAGAGGAUGACCAGCCACACUGGAACUGAGACACGGUCCAGACUCCUACGGGAGGCAGCAGUGGGGAAUAUUGCACAACGGGCGCAAGCCUGAUGCAGCCAUGCCGCGUGUAUGAAGAAGGCCUUCGGGUUGUAAAGUACUUUCAGCGGGGAGGAAGGGAGUAAAGUUAAUACCUUUGCUCAUUGACGUUACCCGCAGAAGAAGCACCGGCUAACUCCGUG